GACGAACGCUGGCGGCGUGCUUAACACAUGCAAGUCGAACGGAAAGGCCCUGCUUUUGUGGGGUGCUCGAGUGGCGAACGGGUGAGUAACACGUGAGUAACCUGCCCUUGACUUUGGGAUAACUUCAGGAAACUGGGGCUAAUACCGGAUAGGAGCUCCUGCUGCAUGGUGGGGGUUGGAAAGUUUCGGCGGUUGGGGAUGGACUCGCGGCUUAUCAGCUUGUUGGUGGGGUAGUGGCUUACCAAGGCUUUGACGGGUAGCCGGCCUGAGAGGGUGACCGGCCACAUUGGGACUGAGAUACGGCCCAGACUCCUACGGGAGGCAGCAGUGGGGAAUAUUGCACAAUGGGCGGAAGCCGGAUGCAGCAACGCCGCGUGCGUGAUGACGGCCUUCGGGUUGUAAACCGCUUUCGCCUGUGACGAAGCGUGAGUGACGGUAAUGGGUAAAGAAGCACCGGCUAACUACGUG
rnacentral:rRNA from 1 species